UGGCUUUGACAGCCCAGAUACUAAAAUUAGAACAGUACAAAGAUUAUCUUGGUUCUUGCACCAGGAUGACAUGCAAAUUCAUGAGGCAUCCCAUAUUUUU
ensembl:snRNA U6 U6 spliceosomal RNA